GAUGAACGCUGGCGGUGGGCCUAACACAUGCAAGUCGAACGGCAGCACAGUACGAGCUUGCUCUUACGGAUGGCGAGUGGCGGACGGGUGAGGAAUAUAUCGUAAUCUACUUUUUCGUGGGGGAUCACGUAGGGAAGCUUACUAUCAUACCGCAUCCGCCCUACCGGUGAAAGCAGGGGAUCUUCUCACCUUGCGGGAUUGAAUUAGCCGCUGUCGGGUUUGCUAGUUGGCGGGUUACAUGCCCACCAAGGCGACGAUCCGUAGCUGGCCUGAGUGGAUGAUCAGCCACACUGGAACUGAGACACGGUCCAGACUCCUACGAUACGCAGCAGUCGGGAAUAUUGGACAAUGGUCGGAAGCCUGAUCCAGCCAUACCGCGUCUGUGAAGAAGACCUUCGGGUUGUAAAGACCUCUUGUUGGGAAAGAACAGCAGCAGGUUAAUACGAAGCUGUUCUGACGGUACCGAAAGAAUAAGCACCGGCUAACUACGUG
rnacentral:rRNA from 1 species